UACGUAGGGUGCAAGCGUUGUCCGGAAUUAUUGGGCGUAAAGAGCUCGUAGGCGGUUUGUCGCGUCUGCUGUGAAAUCUGGAGGCUCAACCUCCAGCCUGCAGUGGGUACGGGCAGACUAGAGUGCGGUAGGGGAGAUUGGAACUCCUGGUGUAGCGGUGGAAUGCGCAGAUAUCAGGAAGAACACCGAUGGCGAAGGCAGAUCUCUGGGCCGUAACUGACGCUGAGGAGCG
rnacentral:rRNA from 1 species